rnacentral:rRNA from 1 species
AUUUGGAAGUACCAGAUAUUUAUAAGUCGCAUAACUUUCUUAUGAGUACACUGCAUUGRUUAAUUUCACGGGAUAAAGCUAUAUCUAGCAUAUAAUACUAGCAUAUUAUGUAACAAUGACGUAUUUUUAUCGAUAAGUCUUGGCCAAGGUACGUGCCGGCACUCGCGGUAAUACGUAGACGACAUAGUGUUGUUCAUCUUUAAUCCGUUUAUUUGGGUACCUAGACGGRAAAUCAAGCCACUGUUAGUGGUACUAAUUUUCUAUGAGUUUUAUGCAAGAAUGUCGAAUAAUUGCAGGAGAGAUAAAMUUUUUUGAUACUAAUUAGACGGGUAACAGUGAAGACUUCAUUCUAUGUAAAAACUGACGUUGAGGAACUGAACUUUGGGUAGCGAUAGGGAUUAGAUACCCUAAUAUUCCUAGGAGAAAAUUAUGAGUGCCAUAGACUAGAGAUAUUUAGUCUAUAAGCUGAAAGUGUAAGCAUUCCACCUCAUGAGUAAAGUGGUAACACCGAAGUUGAAAUCAUUAGACCGUGUCUGAAACCAGUAGUGAAGUAUGUUAUUUAAUUCGAUAGUACGCGAAUAACCUUACCGCACCUUGAAUUAUCAGCCAGCGUUGCAUGGCUGUCUUAMGUUAAUGUCGUGAGAUUUGCUUCAUUCCUUUAAUUAACGCAAAUCCCCUGUUUUAAUUUAAAUUAGAUCAUACUUAUCUAUAUCUCGUAUACGUUUMUMGGGACCAACACGAGUCAU